UCAUCUAUAUAUCCCCUAUAUCCCCCCAUAUAUUCCCUAUAUCCCCAGUAUAUUUCUAUAUAUCCCCUAUAUAUCCCCUAUAUACCCCCCUAUAUUCCUGUAUAUCCCCUAUAUAUCCCCAAUAUAUUCCUGUAUUCCCCCUAUCUAUCCCCAAUAUAUAUCCCCAGUAUAUUUCUGUAUAUCCCCUAUAUAUAUCCCCUAUAUAUUUCCCCUAUAUAUUCCUAUAUAUCCCCUGUAUAUCCCCCACAUAUCAUCUAUAUAUCCCCUGUAUACCCCCCUAUAUUCCUGUAUAUCCCCUAUAUAUCCCCAGUAUAUUUCUGUAUAUCCUCUAUAUAUAUCCCUUAUACAUUUCCCCUAUGUUGUUUUUAUUGUAGUUUUCUCUCCUAAUUACUGAUUUCUGAUACAGGGAGAUAUGCGUCGACGCCACAUUUCCAAGGUGGUGGAAGAGGUUCAAAAGGUAAUCCAGCAGCUCACUGCCUACGUCAGUACUCAGGAUCUAAGAUUCCAGAGUAUCGCCAACACAGGGAUUCACAGCGACAGUCUGAAGGUAAGAGAUUGGGCCAACAGAUGGAAGGGGAAUCAGGAUAAUGGGGUCACUAGGUGUCUGAAAACAUCCCCCCCCCUUCCCCCACCCCCCGCCCUCUCAUUUUGGGACCUUACUCUAUAUGGACACUCCACUGCCCAAAUACAAACAAAACAAGGUUUAAUACAUAUACCCUCCAUUUCCUCUAUAGACUGUAAGCUUGUUUGAGCUGGGUCUUUUUCAACCUAUUGUUCCUGUAAGUUUUCUUGUAAUUGUCCUAAUUAUUGUUCCAUCCCCCCUCUCAUAAUAUUGUAAAGUGCUACAGAAUCUGUUGGCGCUAUAUAAAUGGCAAUAAUAAUAAUAUUAAUUUCAGUAUGCAUGUUUCGGGGGUAUAUCUCCAAACAGCUUGUAAAAGUUGCAAAUCUCUUGUCUGCAGCAUUCGCAAGCCCUUGCUCUUCUAAUCCCGCCCAGACUUUCUGUGGCUGUCCAAUCACACACUUCCCACUGCAGCUCAAUGAAAAGUCUUAGCAAAGCAGAUGCUCUGAGUAAUUUCUGCCUCUUGAGUUUAUCUACAGUGAGCCAAACAAACCAGGAAGUAACUGGACAAUCUGUCUGAUUGACAACCAGGGGGAUGUAACAAAGUUAAUUUAUUAAAGUUAAAAUUUUUAAUGAAAUCUGCAUGUUUUGUAAAAUGAAAAAAGAGGACAUGGUCUUCACACAUAAAGCUGUUCAGGAAGAUAAAGUAUUUUAGGGGUCGGGAGUGUCCUUUUAACCCUCACUUCACCGCAGACUGACACUGAGCUGGUAUUAACCCUCUCCUUUCCAUAAACUGACACUACGCUGGUAUUAACCCCCUCCUUACCAUAAACUGACACUGAGCUGGUAUUAACCCCCUCCUUACCAUAAACUGACACUGAGCUGGUAUGAGUUGGUAUUAACCCCCUCCUUGACAAAGAUGAACACUGUGCUGAUUUUUCUAACCCUCUCCUUGCUGAAUAUAUACAGAGUGUAAGUCUCCUGCAUUCUGAAUUUCUUUACUCCAUCUUGGAUCUCAGACUGUCUCCUUUCUGUCUCUUUUUACUACCGCUCUCUCAGGACCAGCCAGACCUACUGGCUCAUUGGACGGUGCUGCUCA